CAGGAAACAGUUUUAAUUAUAUUAUUCUAUGAAUCCCUUCAAAUAAAAACUUAUUGAGAGUUUUUCUCAUUGAGGAUAUGAUGUCACUACAUCAUUUGCGAGGACAGAAGUAGAUGGCUGUUCUUGAACAACAUUCUCGACAAACGUAAUCUAAGGGGGGUCUGAUCUGUGAGAAUUCAAGUUAACUGAAUUCACGAAAAAAUCAGCAAAAAUAUGCAAAUGGUUGUACGACCAACCCAGCAGUCCCAAAUGGCUGGCUGUAUGAGCCCGUGCGAGAGGGAUACGCAUGACAGGACGCCGGCUUGAGCGAGCCGGCCGCCAUUGUGUUAACGCCGCGUGUCCGCGCAGCCAUGGAAACCUACAAACAUCCAGACCGGAAGUUUACUGGGGAUACAUAAAAGACGUACGAUUUUUGUCUGACUGCUUCUCUCAUUAGGAAUUCGUAUUUUUAUUUUCCCGUAACAAAUUUAGAUGAAUUUUAGAACUUUAUGGGACAUUAAAGAUACAUGAAUUAGUUAGUCAAUCGGUCAAAUAAUUUAGCUUUUUAUAAUUAGAAAAAAAACCAUAAUAUUUAUUUUAUUAACAACCGCCCACCCAGCCGACCACCCUUCUCCACCCCGCCCACAAUACUUAAAAAUAUUUUAUGAUUCGAAGUAAUAAAUCUAUCAAUCAGUUCAUUUAGUUAAUUAUGGUAAAGUUCAUCGGUACUUAUAAAUUAACAUUUAAAAGGUAGAACCUUUAAAAAAAACAUAGUUUAAAAUUAUGGUGUAGAAGUAUUUUAUCUUCAGCUAACGUUUAGCUAAAGUUGACAACCAUCUAAAAAAAUCAAUGUCAGUUUGAUCUUAUUAUCCGAUAUGGUCUACUG